rnacentral:rRNA from 1 species
GAUGAACGCUAGCGGCAGGCUUAAUACAUGCAAGUCGUGGGGCAGCACAGGUAGCAAUACUAGGUGGCGACCGGCAAACGGGUGCGUAACACGUACGCAACUUUCCUUUAAGCGGGGAAUAGCCCAGGGAAACUUGGAUUAAUACCCCAUAAAAUUUUGAGAUGGCAUCAUCUUAUUAUUAAAGCUUCGGCACUUAAAGAUGGGCGUGCGGCUGAUUAGGUAGUUGGCGGGGUAACGGCCCACCAAGCCUUCGAUCAGUAGCUGAUGUGAGAGCAUGAUCAGCCACACGGGCACUGAGACACGGGCCCGACUCCUACGGGAGGCAGCAGUAAGGAAUAUUGGUCAAUGGACGAAAGUCUGAACCAGCCAUGCCGCGUGAAGGAUGAAGGUCCUCUGGAUUGUAAACUUCUUUUAUUUGGGACGAAAAAAGGGUUUUCUAACUCACUUGACGGUACCAGAUGAAUAAGCACCGGCUAACUCCGUGCCAGCAGCCGCGGUAAU